GUGGGGAAUAUUGGACAAUGGGGGGAACCCUGAUCCAGCCAUGCCGCGUGUGUGAAGAAGGCCUUUUGGUUGUAAAGCACUUUAAGCGAGGAGGAGGCUACCGAGAUUAAUACUCUUGGAUAGUGGACGUUACUCGCAGAAUAAGCACCGGCUAACUCUGUGCCAGCAGCCGCGGUAAUACAGAGGGUGCAAGCGUUAAUCGGAUUUACUGGGCGUAAAGCGCGCGUAGGUGGCCAAUUAAGUCAAAUGUGAAAUCCCCGAGCUUAACUUGGGAAUUGCAUUCGAUACUGGUUGGCUAGAGUAUGGGAGAGGAUGGUAGAAUUCCAGGUGUAGCGGUGAAAUGCGUAGAGAUCUGGAGGAAUACCGAUGGCGAAGGCAGCCAUCUGGCCUAAUACUGAUACUGAGGUGCGAAAGCAUGGGGAGCAAACAGGAUUAGAAACCCGGGUAGUCC
rnacentral:rRNA from 1 species